rnacentral:rRNA from 1 species
GGACGGACGCUGGCGGCGUGCUUAACACAUGCAAGUCGAGGGGGGCUCGGGGGGCAACUCCGGGUCACCGGCGAACGGGUGCGUAACACGUGAGCGACCUGCCGAUCUGCGGGGGAUAGGCCGGCCCAACGGCCGGGUAAUACCGCAUACGUUCUCUUGGGGGCAUCCCUGAGAGAGGAAACCUCCGGGGCGAUCGGAGGGCUCGCGGCCUAUCAGCUAGGUUGGGGGGUAACGGCCUCCCAAGGCGACGACGGGUAGCUGGUCUGAGAGGAUGGCCAGCCACAUUGGACUGAGAGACGGCCCAGACUCCUACGGGAGGCAGCA